GCCCAGGUGGUGGAAUGGUAGACACGACGGUCUUAGAAGCCGUUGCCAUAAUGGUGUAAGAGUUCAAGUCUCUUCCUGGGCACCA
rnacentral:tRNA from 1 species